CCUGUUUAACAAAAACAUGUCUUUUUGAGUUAUUUUUAAAGUCUGACCUGCCCACUGAGUAUUUUAAAUGGCCGCAGUAUACUAACUGUGCAAAGGUAGCAUAAUCAUUAGUCUUUUAAUUGAAGGCUGGUAUGAACGGUUGGACGAGGUAUAAGCUGUUUCAUAUAAAAUUAUAUUAGAAUUUUAUAUUUUAGUCAAAAAGCUAAAAUAUCAUUAAAAGACGAGAAGACCCUAUAAAUCUUUAUAUUUUGUUUUAUUUAAUUUUUUUGGGUUUAUUUUAUUUUUAUAAUAUUGAAUAUUUUGUUGGGGUGAUGUUAAAAUUUAAUGAACUUUUAAUUAUUUAAAAUCAUUAAUUUAUGAGUUAUUGAUCCAUUAAUAAUGAUUAUAAGAUUAAGUUACUUUAGGGAUAACAGCGUAAUUUUUUUGGAGAGUUCAUAUCGAUAAAAAAGUUUGCGACCUCGAUGUUGGAUUAAGAUAUAGUUUUAGGUGUAGCCG
rnacentral:rRNA from 1 species